CCUACGUGAGGCAGCAGUGGGGAAUAUUGCACAAUGGGGGAAACCCUGAUGCAGCGACGCCGCGUGAGUGAAGAGGUAAUUCGUUAUGUAAAGCUCUAUCAGCAGGGAAGAAAAUGACGGUACCUGAGUAAGAAGCCCCGGCUAACUACGUGCCAGCAGCCGCGGUAAUACGUAGGGGGCAAGCGUUAUCCGGAUUUACUGGGUGUAAAGGGAGCGUAGACGGCAGUGCAAGUCUGGAGUGAAAGGCGGGGGCUCAACCCCCGGACUGCUCUGGAAACUGUACGGCUGGAGUGCAGGAGAGGUAAGUGGAAUUCCUAGUGUAGCGGUGAAAUGCGUAGAUAUUAGGAGGAACACCAGUGGCGAAGGCGGCUUACUGGACUGUAACUGACGUUGAGGCUCGAAAGCGUGGGGAGCAAACAGGAUUAGAUACCCGGGUAGUC
rnacentral:rRNA from 1 species